rnacentral:lncRNA from 10 species
GUUGAGUCGGAGUCACAUAAGUCUCCUGUUCUCUGUUGUGCUUUUCUUUCCCACGGGUAUUUCAGUGGCUGUUUGCACCGUUUCUGUUGCCCUGUCUCUGUCUCCCCUCCAUGGUCCACCUGCCACGGGGUCCAGUCUGCCAUCACCCGUCUCAUGACACUGACCUGCAGCCCUGGGAUGUCCAUUUGGUUCUCUCGUUUAGGUUCCAAUCAGCUGUGGAAUUCUCCAUCCAGAGAUCCCGUUAGACGGCAUUUCCUGUUUUUAGUAACACAUGAAUGAGUUAUUUUAAAAUACCUGUCUACUGACACUCACAUCUGAGGUUCUGCUUCUGUUGCCUCUGUUUUCUUUUCUUUUCUUUCUUUUUUUUUUUUUUUUUUUUUUUGAGACGGAUUCUUGCUCUGUCGCCUAGGCUGGAGUGCAGUGGCACAGUAUCAGCUCACUGCAACCUCCACCUCCCGGGUUCAAGCGAUUCUCCUGCCUCAGCCUCCCAAGUAGGACUA